CCCUUAGAUGUUCUGGGCCGCACGCGUGCUACACUGAGUGGAUCAGCGGGUCAGGUUGCGCGAAAGCGUUUCCUAAUCUUUAAAUCCGCUCGUGAUGGGGAUUGACGGUUGCAAUUUUCUGUCAUGAACGAGGAAUACCUUGUAGGCGCAUGUCAUCAUCAUGCGCCGAAUACGUCCCUGCCCUUUGUACACACCGCCCGUCGCUCCUACCGAUUGAGUGAUCCGGUGAGGCUCUGGGACCUGGACGGAAAGAGCGUUUCGCUUGUUCUGUUUGGGAAACUUGGUCGAACCUUAUCAUUUAGAGGAAGGAGAAGUCGUAACA
rnacentral:rRNA from 1 species